CAGUAGCCGCGGUAAUACGUAGGGUGCAAGCGUUAAUCGGAAUUACUGGGCGUAAAGCGUGCGCAGGCGGUUAUAUAAGUCAGAUGUGAAACCCCCGGGCUCGACCUGGGACCUGCAUUUGUGACUGUAUAGCUAGAGUACGGUAGAGGGGGAUGGAAUUCCGCGUGUAGCAGUGAAAUGCGUAAAUAUGUGGAGGAAUACCGAUGGCGAAGGCAGCCCCCUGGGAUAACACUGACGCUCAUGCACGAAAGCGUGGGGAGCAAACAGGAUUAGAUACCCCGGUAGUCCCUGUCUCUUAUAA
rnacentral:rRNA from 1 species